UGUGGGGUUCCGCUCUGACAGCCCCCGGGCCCCAAAGCAGCCUUAGGGCACUGCAGCCUGGAAGCUAAGCAGGAUUGGGCCUGGCUGGGGCUUGGGUGGGAGACUGCCUAGGAAGACCAGGGAGACUGCAAAG
ensembl:rRNA 5S_rRNA 5S ribosomal RNA